UCAGCCUGGAGAAGAGAAGGCUGCGUGGAGACUUCCUAGCAGCCUUCCAGUAUCUGAAGGGGGCCUAUAGGGAUGCUGGGGAGGGACUCUUCAUUAGGGACUGUAGUGACAGGACAAGGGGUAAUGGGUUAAAACUUAAAUAGGGGAAGUUUAGAUUGGAUCUAAGGAAGGAGUUCUUUACUGUGAGGGUGGUGAGGCACUGGAAUGGGUUGCCCAGGGAAGUUGUGAAUGCUCCAUCCCUGGCAGUGUUCAAGGCCAGGCUGGACAGAGCCUUGGGUGACAUGGUUUAGUGUGAGGUGUCCCUGCCCAUGGCAGGGGGGUUGGAACUGGAUGAUCUUAAGGUCCUUUCCAACCCAGACUGUUCUGUGAUUCUACGAUUGAUCUUGAGUGAGAAGUUUCUUGACUGCAACUUGGAAAUGAGUUUCCUGAGCUGUAUCACUGUGAAUCUUUAUAAAAUGUGUGCUUUAAACUUAGCUUUUAAGUCAUACAACAACUUAUGUACAGUUAGUGCUCUUUAUGCAGAUUUAUCUUGGGCAGAAUUUAUCAGAGAGGUCUAAAAUAUAUUUGAAAAGCAAGACCUUGAGUUUAUAUCUAGAGGGGUGGCGAUGGACUCUGUUCCUAUCUUAAAAAUAUAUAUGUGUAUAUAUCUAGUUCUACAUAACAGAAAUGGGAUUUUAAGAUUUUGUAUGUUUGUUUUUAACUUCAGCUUUUCAGUUGUAUAAAGACUUCUGAAAAGCUUUACAAUUGUAGAGUUGCAUCCCAAGGCGGGAGGUCCUGUACAGGCAGUUCAGGUCACACCUCAUGAAGUAGGUAAGUGUCUCUCUGUUACUAAGUGGAAGGUGCAGAGCCUGCUCAUCUGAAGACUUGAGGCCCUUGGUACUGGGUGGCUCUCCCAAGAGCUGUGGACUUAAAAGCACUUGUGAAUGUUCUGUGCUCUCACCUAUGCUCAGAUCUGCUGCUGAGCAGCUCAAGAUCCCACCGCUGUACCACACUUACAAGCUUGGUGUAUCCAUCUACCUAAGGCAUGUUGACUCAGACUGCAUCUAUCCUGACAUGCCAUCUUUAGGACUUCCAAAUGAAACCCAUUGCAUGGCUUUCUGUGUUUCCAGUUGAAGCUGCACUCUUGGUGAGCAAGCAUUUCUCCCCUUCUUCAUUGUGGAGUGGUCUGCAGUGUAAGGUAUUCUCUUGCAGCUUUGCAUAGGUUUAUUCUCCAGAAAAAAUACCCACUGUAAAUGUACUACAAGCUGUAAUUAGGUCUGGUUUAUAGGAAGGGAAUUUUGAACCUCCUGUGUAACAGCAAUAAGAAGUAAUCAUGUUCAUUCUCCACUUACGGUCUGGUUUAAGCCAGUGCUGGAUGUAUGUUGAUACUUCUCAAGGAGUGAUAACAAUGUGCUGGCUGCUUCUCUGUUAAAUGAUUAAAACGAGUUCAAGUAAUAUGGUUGUGCUAAUUUGGUUUAACAGUGAUGUUACAAAACAAAAGUUUGGAGUAAAACCUAUGUUUGAAGUGGUUUGUCUCUUCAGAAGAGGAUGUGGUGCAGUGUUGAGCUGUUGAUGCACACAUACGGACUCUGGAUCAUCUUAAGGGUUGGUUAGAAGGGUGGUGUGGGAGGAAAUGUACCUGUAGUACCUUCAUACUCCAUCACUGCCACACGCUGUUACAUGUGAACUACAACUACCACACUUGUGAUGCUGAGUAGGAAGAAAAUAACCAACCUCCUUUUCACAAUUCAUAUUGACUGUGAUUAAUAACAUGAGUCUGAAAGUUGCAUUCUUCUAUGUUAGUAAUAUCACCACUGCUGGUACCAAACACACAGAUAAAGCAUUAAAUUGAUUUUUGCUAUU